rnacentral:rRNA from 1 species
GAUGAACGCUGGCGGCGUGCCUAAUACAUGCAAGUCGAGCGAACGGACGAGAAGCUUGCUCCUCUGCUGUUAGCGGCGGACGGGUGAGUAACACGUGGAUAACCUACCUAUAAGACUGGGAUAACUUCGGGAAACCGGAGCUAAUACCGGAUAAUAUUUUGAACCGCAUGGUUCAAAAGUGAAAGACGGUCUUGCUGUCACUUAUAGAUGGAUCCGCGCUGCAUUAGCUAGUUGGUAAGGUAACGGCUUACCAAGGCAACGAUGCAUAGCCGACCUGAGAGGGUGAUCAGCCACACUGGAACUGAGACACGGUCCAGACUCCUACGGGAGGCAGCAGUAGGGAAUCUUCGGCAAUGGGCGAAAGCCUGACGGAGCAACACCGCGUGAGUGAUGAAGGUCUUCGGAUCGUAAAACUCUGUUAUUAGGGAAGAACAUAUGUGUAAGUAACUGUGGACGUCUUGACGGUACCUAAUCAGAAAGCCACGGCUAACUACGUG